rnacentral:rRNA from 1 species
UACGUAGGGACCAAGCGUUGUUCGGAUUUACUGGGCGUAAAGGGCGCGUAGGCGGCUUGUCAAGUCACUUGUGAAAUCUCUGGGCUUAACCCAGAACGGCCAAGUGAAACUGUCAUGCUAGAGUACAGAAGGGGCAACUGGAAUUCUCGGUGUAGCGGUGAAAUGCGUAGAUAUCGAGAGGAACACCUGCGGCGAAGGCGGGUUGCUGGGCUGAUACUGACGCUGAGGCGCGAAAGCCAGGGGAGCGAACGGG